rnacentral:rRNA from 1 species
UACGUAGGGAGCAAGCGUUGUUCGGAUUUACUGGGCGUAAAGGGCGCGUAGGCGGCGCGGUAAGUCACUUGUGAAAUCUCUGAGCUUAACUCAGAACGGCCAAGUGAUACUGCAGUGCUAGAGUGCAGAAGGGGCAAUCGGAAUUCUUGGUGUAGCGGUGAAAUGCGUAGAUAUCAAGAGGAACACCUGAGGUGAAGACGGGUUGCUGGGCUGACACUGACGCUGAUGCGCGAAAGCUAGGGGAGCGAACGGG